rnacentral:rRNA from 1 species
UGGGGAAUAUUGGACAAUGGGCGAAAGCCUGAUCCAGCAAUGCCGCGUGAGUGAUGAAGGCCUUAGGGUUGUAAAGCUCUUUUACCAGGGAUGAUAAUGACAGUACCUGGAGAAUAAGCUCCGGCUAACUCCGUGCCAGCAGCCGCGGUAAUACGGAGGGAGCUAGCGUUGUUCGGAAUUACUGGGCGUAAAGCGCACGUAGGCGGCGAUUCAAGUCAGAGGUGAAAGCCCGGGGCUCAACCCCGGAACUGCCUUUGAAACUAGAUUGCUAGAAUCCUGGAGAGGCGAGUGGAAUUCCGAGUGUAGAGGUGAAAUUCGUAGAUAUUCGGAAGAACACCAGUGGCGAAGGCGACUCGCUGGACAGGUAUUGACGCUGAGGUGCGAAAGCGUGGGGAGCAAACAGG